rnacentral:lncRNA from 1 species
GUUGGCAUGAGGAAAGGAGGUAUCUUCGAGGGACAAUCUUCUUCUUGUGCGAUCCUUGGAGAUGCCAUGAGGCCCCUGGACACAUGUGGUGUGGGCUCCUUUGGAGGCUGUUGUAUCCCUUCUGAAUGUGGCGUGGGCAUAGAAGGAAGGCCAGUGGCCACGAGGGACAAUCUUGGUCUUGGGAGAUCCUGGAAAUGAUAGGGAGUCCCUUGAUAUGUGUGGCAUGGGCUCCUUCAGGUGCUAGUGGAUUCCUUAGGAUGGUGGUGUUGGCAUGAAAGGCAGGCUUGUAUCAUGAGGAAUGAUUGUCAUCUUGUCUGAUUCUUGGAGAUGGCAGGAAGCCCCUGGAAACACAUGGUGUGGACUCUUUCACAGGCUGUUGAAACCCUCCUGAAUGUGAGGCCAGAGACAGGCAGACAGCAGAUGUAUUGCAGGGAGCUGGAUGACAUGGCCCUUGGAACCUGUGCACAUGCCUGCCUUUCUGAUGCACGUCCAUGUUUUCUCUGCACCUCCCCGGUGGUGUUGGUAUAAAAAGCAGGCUUACAUCAGCAAGGGAUGAUUGUCGUCUCAUGCGAUCCUGGGAGAUGGCAGAAGUCCCGGGACACAUGGAGUGUGGGCUCUUUCGGAGGCUGUUGGAUCCCUCCUGAAUGUGUUGUGGCCAUGGAAGUAAGGCCAGUGGCUACGAGGGACAGUCUUCAUCUUGGGAGAUCCCUAGAGAGGGCAGGGAGCCCCUUGACAUGUGGAAUGUGAUCUCUGUUGGGUGCUGGUGGAUCCCACAGGUGGUCUGGCAUGGAAGAAGGCCAGAGGCUGCGAUGGAUCAUCUUUGUCUUGGGAGAUUCCUGGAGAUGGUGGGGAGCCCCUGGGCACGUGCAGCAUAUGUGGCGUGGGCUUCUUCAGGUGCUGGUGGAUCCCUCAGGAUGCUUUUCAAGGUUUUUCUAUGAGUUCUGUUAAAGAGUCUGAAAAUGGAGCGUAGAAGACAUGCUUCGAUUUCCAGGAUGGUUGUGUUUUCCAGAGAGGCGGAGGUAAACCACUGGCGCAGCCCUGCCUCCCACAGAUAAUUCCGGGUGCAGUGUUUCAUAUCUAGACUUGGACUUCUAUCCUACCAUACUUCUUUGUGUGCAGUUCAUUGUGGAACCAGCACAGAUUUUCAUACGAAAGUUAUUUCUUUUUAACCUCAAAAAGUGACAGAAUGGAGUGUAUCAUGAAAAAGUCUGACAUCAAAACCUCAAAUCUGUAGAUUGGGUGAGAUAGAAUUCCAUGGAAUUUCAUUGCCAAACCAGUGAAGUGCUAAUUUUGACAUUUGUACCAGCUAACGUAGCUGUGAAGAAACACACCAAUACACUUCUAAGGACAGCAUAGACCAAGAUCUAGGUUUCAUAUGGAUGAAUUUAUUCUUCCCUUUGAGGCAAGACAAGAAGGAAAGAAAGUAUUGGGAAUAAUGCUGCCCUCCCAUCCUCAAGGGCCAGUGGGAACUCUAAUAUUGAUUGGUUUUCACAGAAUUCCAUGGACUUUAACUGCUGAACCAAUGAUGCACUGAUUUUGUCACUUGUACCAGCUAACGCAUCUGGGAGGCAACAAAACAAUACUCUCCUGAGGUUAAUGUGGACC